AUGGCUGAGUAUAAAUUUGCUCUGCAAACCAUUGAUCGGGUAGCUUUCAGCGAAAGUGUACUCAAAAGUCAACAGACAGUUGCAAACUCGCCAACAUUCUGGAAUGAGACCCUCCACAUCAAGGAGAUCAAUCUGUCUGGAAACCACCAGUGAUUCAAGAACUGUGCUCAGUUCCUGUGUGGAUCAUACUUAGGUUAGGAUCCAGGUUUAUGAGUAGCAGUUGGAGAAAAUGAAGAACAUAGUUCUCUUUGGCCAGGUGAUGAUUGGCAAUUUGAAUGAGAAAUUGUCCAUUUCCAGAAACCAAAUGAGACAAGGAGUAUCACCAUACUGGCCGCACCAGCCCAUCAAGAACCCGUGA
rnacentral:lncRNA from 1 species